UACCGGCAGCCCGAGUGAUGGCCGAUAUUAUUGGGCCUAAAGCGUCCGUAGCUGGCCGGACAAGUCCGUUGGGAAAUCUGCUCGCUUAACGAGCAGGCGUCCAGCGGAAACUGUUCGGCUUGGGACCGGAAGACCUGAGGGGUACGUCCGGGGUAGGAGUGAAAUCCCGUAAUCCUGGACGGACCACCGGUGGCGAAAGCGCCUCAGGAGGACGGAUCCGACAGUGAGGGACGAAAGCUAGGGUCUCGAACCGG
rnacentral:rRNA from 1 species